rnacentral:rRNA from 1 species
AAUAAUUAACUAUUUCAUUUUAAAUUUUAAAUAAAAAAUUAAUUUUAAAUUUUUUUAAAAUUCAAAACUUAAAUUACACUAAUUCUAACUAAAAUUUAAUUUACAUAUUGAUCUAUCAUUAAAUUAAAAACUCAAACUAUCAUAAAUUAUAAUAAAAUAAUUCAUUAACAACUAUAUAUAAAAAUGAAUUUUAGAUACUUAAAUAGAGCAAUUUCUAAUUAUAGAACAAGAUUCUUUAAUAACUAUUUACCGCCAAGUAAAUUAACUUUCUUUAUCCAUUAAUUAUUAAUUAAAUUUAUUUCAUUGAUUAUCUAGGGUAUCUAAUCCUAUUAUUUAUGUUCAAUUAAAUUAAAAUAAAUCAUUAAAAAUUAAAACUAAAUAAUUUCACCUAAAAGUUUAAAUUAAAAUUAAUCUAAAUUAUUUUAAUUACGUUAAUUAACUAAAAUUUACUGAUUAUGUU